rnacentral:rRNA from 1 species
GAUGAACGCUGGCGGUAUGCCUAACACAUGCAAGUCGUACGAGAGUUUUUAACUCUAGUGGCGGACGGGUGAGUAACACGUGAGAAUUUGCCUUUAGGAGGGGGAUAACAAUUGGAAACGAAUGCUAAUACCCCAUAUGCUUUUGAGUGAAACGGAUUUAUCCGCCUAGAGAGAAGCUCGCGGCUGAUUAGCUUGUUGGUAAGGUAAGAGCUUACCAAGGCGACGAUCGAGUAUCUGGUUUGAGAGGACGAUCAGACACACUGGAACUGAGACACGGUCCAGACUCCUACGGGAGGCAGCAGUGGGGAAUUUUCCGCAAUGGGCGAAAGCCUGACGGAGCAAUACCGCGUGAGGGAAGACUGCCUAUGGGUUGUAAACCUCUUUUUUCAGGGAGGAAUAAAUGACGUGUACCUGAAGAUAAGCAAUCGGCUAACUCCGUG